rnacentral:rRNA from 1 species
AGUGAACGCUGGCGGUAGGCCUAACACAUGCAAGUCGAACGGCAGCACAGUAAGAGCUUGCUCUUACGGGUGGCGAGUGGCGGACGGGUGAGGAAUACAUCGGAAUCUACUUUUUCGUGGGGAUAACGUAGGGAAACUUACGCUAAUACCGCAUACGACCUACGGGUGAAAGCAGGGGAUCUUCGGACCUUGCGCGAUUGCAUGAGCCGAUGUCGGAUUAGCUAGUUGGCGGGGUAAAGGCCCACCAAGGCGACGAUCCGUAGCUGGUCUGAGAGGAUGAUCAGCCACACUGGAACUGAGACACGGUCCAGACUCCUACGGGAGGCAGCAGUGGGGAAUAUUGGACAAUGGGCGCAAGCCUGAUCCAGCCAUACCGCGUGGGUGAAGAAGGCCUUCGGGUUGUAAAGCCCUUUUGUUGGGAAAGAAAAGCAGCAGGUUAAUACCCCGCUGUUCUGACGGUACCCAAAGAAUAAGCACCGGCUGACUUCGUG